rnacentral:lncRNA from 1 species
AUAUAUAUGGUUUAGGUGGGGAUCUCAACCGUUUCCAAGUUCUCAAACAGGAGGGUUGGGGUGACCACAGGGACUUCCCCUAUAUUUUAUUUUAUUUGUUAUAUUGUCCCAUACAUGAGUAUAUAUGGUUUAGGGGUAAGGAUCUUGACCAUUUCCAAGUUCUCAAACAGAAGGGUGUACAGUGACCUCAGGGACUCCCCCUAUCUUUCAUUUGAAUUGUUAUAUUGUCCCGUACAUGAAUAUAUGGUUAAGAGGUGGCGAUCUCAACGGGUGUCAAAUUCUCAAACAGGAGGGGGUGGGGUGACCCAAGGGACUCCCCCUAUAUUUCAUCUGAUUUGUUAUAUUGUCCCAUACAUGAAUAUAUAUGGUUUAGGGUGGGGACCUGGACCAUUUUCAAAUUCUAAAACAGGAAGGGUGGGGUGACCCCCAGUGACUCUUCCUAUAUUUCAUUUGAUUUUUCAUAUAGUCACAAACAUGAAUAUAUAUGGUUAAGGGGUGUGGAUCUCGACCGUUUCCAAGUUCUCAAACAGGAGGGGGUGGUGUAACUCCAGGGACUCCCCCUAUAUUUCAUUUUAU